AUAAAGUUUUAUUUUGGCUUAAAAUUUUAUUAUAAAUUUAUUUUAUAUGUAAGUUUUUGUGGGAAUUUAAUUUAUUUUAUUUUAAAAAUAAAAAAAAAAUUUUUAAUCGCAAUAAUUAAUAUUAUUUAUCAAGGAAAUUUGGAAAUAGAAAUAUUUAAUAGUAUUGACUAAAUUUGUGCCAGCAGUCGCGGUUAUACUAAUAAUGCAAAUAAAUUAUAUUAGUAAAAGUUAGAUUUAUAAAUUAAAUUAAUAUUAAAGUUAUUAGGUGAAAUUUUAAUUUUAAAAAUUAUUUUAAAUUAAGAAUAAUUGAAACUAAAAAAUUUUAAUUAUAAACUAGGAUUAGAUACCCUAUUAUUUAAAAUGUAUUAAUUUUAUUAAAGUAGUAGUAGAUAUGUUCUUGAAACUUAAAAAAUUUGGCGGUAUUUUAAUCUAUUCAGAGGAAUCUGUUCUGUAAUCGAUAAUCCACGAUGGACCUUUCUUAAAUUUGUUUAUAAUCAGUUUAUAUACCGUUGUUAUUAGAAUAUUUUAUAAGAAUAAUAAUUUUCUUAAUAUUUAAUUAAAUAAAAUAUCAAAUCAAGGUGUAGCUAAUAUUUAAGUUGAAAUGGAUUACAAUAAAAAAAUUUUUGGAUUUAAAUAUGAAAAAUUUAUUGAAAUUGGAUUUGAAAGUAAAUUUAUAAAGAUUAAUAAAUUGAUUUUAGCUCUAAAAUAUGUACAUAUCGCCCGUCACUCUUAUUAUUAAGAUAAGAUAAGUCGUAACAUAGUAGAUGUACCGGAAGGUGUAUCUAGAAUGA
rnacentral:ncRNA from 1 species